GCGGAAGUGGCGAAACUGGUAGACGCGCACGUUUGAGGGGCGUGUGAGGAGACUCGUGUGGGUUCAAGUCCCAUCUUCCGCA
rnacentral:tRNA from 1 species